AGUGGCGGACGGGUGAGUAACGCGUGAGAAUCUGCCUUGGGGUCGGGGACAACCACUGGAAACGGUGGCUAAUACCGGAUACGCCUUCGGGUAAAAGAUUUAUUGCCCUAAGAGGAGCUCGCGUCUGAUUAGCUAGUUGGUGAGGUAAGAGCUCACCAAGGCAGCGAUCAGUAGCUGGUCUGAGAGGACGAUCAGCCACACUGGGACUGAGACACGGCCCAGACUCCUACGGGAGGCAGCAGUGGGGAAUUUUCCGCAAUGGGCGAAAGCCUGACGGAGCAAGACCGCGUGAGGGAGGAAGGCUCUUGGGUUGUAAACCUCUUUUCUCAGGGAAGAAGCUCUGACGGUACCUGAGGAAUCAGCCUCGGCUAACUCCGUGCCAGCAGCCGCGGUAAUACGGAGGAGGCAAGCGUUAUCCGGAAUUAUUGGGCGUAAAGCGUCCGCAGGUGGCGAUUCAAGUCUGCUGUCAAAGCACGGGGCUUAACUCCGUAAAGGCAGUGGAAACUGAAUAGCUAGAGUGCCGUAGGGGUAGAGGGAAUUCCCGGUGUAGCGGUGAAAUGCGUAGAGAUCGGGAAGAACAUCGGUGGCGAAAGCGCUCUACUGGACGGCAACUGACACUCACGGACGAAAGCUAGGGGAGCGAAUGGGAUUAGAUACCCC
rnacentral:rRNA from 1 species